rnacentral:rRNA from 1 species
GACGAACGCUGGCGGCGUGCUUAACACAUGGAAGUCGAACGGAGUGGCGAACGGGUGAGUAACACGUGGGUGAUAUGCCUUGCACUUCGGGAUCAGCUUGGGAAACUGGGUCUAAUACCGGAUAGUGCAAGAUGAGCUCGCGGCCUAUCAGCUUGUUGGUGGGGUAAUGGCCUACCAAGGCGUCGACGGGUAGCCUGCCUGAGAGGGUGUACGGCCACGUACUCCCUUCUCUACUUCCCCUCCUCCUUCUUCACUCUUCACUCUGGAAUAUUUCCCAAUGGGCGGAAGGCUGAUCACGCCACACCUCGUCUUUUCUGAAGGCCUUCGGGUUGUAAACUCCUUUCGACAUGGACGCGGUACCUGUAUAAGAAGCACCGGCUAACUACGUGCCAGCAGCCGCGGUAAUAC